rnacentral:rRNA from 1 species
AUACGAAGGGGGCUAGCGUUGUUCGGAAUAACUGGGCGUAAAGCGCACGUAGGCGGAAUGUUAAGUUAGAGGUGAAAUCCCAGGGCUCAACCCUGGAACUGCCUUUAAUACUGGCAAUCUAGAGACCGAGAGAGGUGAGUGGAAUUCCGAGUGUAGAGGUGAAAUUCGUAGAUAUUCGGAGGAACACCAGUGGCGAAGGCGGCUCACUGGCACGGUACUGACGCUGAGGUGCGAAAGCGUGGGGAGCAAACAGGAUUAGAAACCCUAGUAGUCC